GAUAAACGCUGGCGGCGUGCCUAACACAUGCAAGUCGAACGAUCCCGCAAGGGAGAGUGGCGGAAGGGUGAGUAACACGUGGGAAUCUACCUCCUCGCAGGGAACAACCUCUCGAAAGAGAGGCUAAUACCCAAAAGGGUCAGAAAUGAUCAGAGUCGAAAGGCGUGAGGAGAGGAGCCCGCGGCCCAUCAGCUAGUUGGUGAGGUAAUGGCUUACCAAGGCUACGACGGGUAGGGGAUCUGAGAGGAUGUCCCCCACACUGGAACUGAAACACGGUCCAGACGCCUACGGGUGGCAGCAGUGAGGAAUAUUGGACAAUGGGCGAAAGCCCGAUCCAGCAACGCCGCGUGGAGGAUGAAGGCCUCGGGUCGUAAACUUACUUUAGAGGGA
rnacentral:rRNA from 1 species